rnacentral:sRNA from 1 species
GGGGCUGGAGGGCAGGGGUGGGAGGCUCCAGGGGAGGGGUUCCCUCCUGCUAGCUGUGGCAGGAGCCACUUCUCUGGUGACCUUGUUGCUGGCGGUGCCUAUCACUGUCCUGGCUGUGCUGGCCUUAGUGCCCCAGGAUCAGGGAGGACUGGUGAGUGGCUGCAACAGGCCCUGGUGGAGAGCUGUAUCUUGCGGAUGCUUGGCUUCCUCUGGUUGUGCCUGUGGUCUUUUGCCCCCUCUGGCUCAGCUGGCUCGGCUGUCCCUGGUGGGGAUGUCUUGUCUCUUUGCUGACUCUCUUUCCAUGUUCCUGUGAUGUUGUGCUUGUGUCCCGACAUAAGCCCCUUGUGUCUCCUCUCCUCUUCCCGAGGUACAUCUGUUUCUCCGCCCAAGUACCUAUGCCUUGCUUGUUCUCCCUUCUAGGGAGGUGUGUGUUGGGGAUGGUGCUGGUAGGAGAAACCCCAGGCCUGCAGCUUGGGUCCACUUUCAGAGGGGUAGGGGUGACAUGAGCUGAAUCUGAACUCUGGGCACUGUGACCCCACCCAACCAGGUAACGGAGACGGCUGACCCCGGGGCACAGGCCCAGCAAGGACUGGGUAAGAGCAGACUGUCUCUCCUUCCCCGCUUCAGCCCCUCAGGGGCUCCCAGCUCCCUGCUGCGUCCCCAGAUACCUCUUCCUCUAGGAAUCCAGGCUCCCCAUCCCUGCGCCCUGUUCUCUCAAGGGUAGCCUGCAUGGGUGGCUGCCCUGGCCCCAAUCGUGGACUCUUUGCCCCUUCCAGGGUUUCAGAAGCUGCCAGAGGAGGAGCCAGAAACAGAUCUCAGCCCCGGGCUCCCAGCUGCCCACCUCAUAGGCGCUCCGCUGAAGGGGCAGGGGCUAGGCUGGGAGACGACGAAGGAACAGGCGUUUCUGACGAGCGGGACGCAGUUCUCGGACGCCGAGGGGCUGGCGCUCCCGCAGGACGGCCUCUAUUACCUCUACUGUCUCGUCGGCUACCGGGGCCGGACGCCCCCUGGCGGCGGGGACCCCCAGGGCCGCUCGGUCACGCUGCGCAGCUCUCUGUACCGGGCGGGGGGCGCCUACGGGCCGGGCACUCCCGAGCUGCUGCUCGAGGGCGCCGAGACGGUGACUCCAGUGCUGGACCCGGCCAGGAGACAAGGGUACGGGCCUCUCUGGUACACGAGCGUGGGGUUCGGCGGCCUGGUGCAGCUCCGGAGGGGCGAGAGGGUGUACGUCAACAUCAGUCACCCCGAUAUGGUGGACUUCGCGAGAGGGAAGACCUUCUUUGGGGCCGUGAUGGUGGGGUGAGGGAAUAUGAGUGCGUGGUGCGAGUGCGUGAAUAUUGGGGGCCCGGACGCCCAGGACCCCAUGGCAGUGGGAAAAAUGUAGGAGA